GUCUCGAUAGCUAAGUGGUAUAGCAUGCGAUUGCAGUUAUAAAUCAUCGCAGGGUCCGGUGUUCGAACCACCGUCGGGACU
rnacentral:tRNA from 1 species